rnacentral:rRNA from 1 species
ACACUUCCUAGCAUGAAGUCAGACAAGUGAACCCGCCGAAUUUAAGCAUAUAAGUAAGCGGAGGAAAAGGAACUAAACAGGAUUCCCUUAGUUAUGGCGAACGAACAGGGAUCAGCUUGGGUUGGAAACCGGGGCUUCUGCCUUGGAUUGUGGCCUUUAGACAUACUACCAACGGCGGCGCGAGCGUAAGCCUCUUGGAACAGAGCGUCUACCUGGGUGAGAAUCCUGUGUUUCGCUUGAUGCCCGCCGUGCACGGUACUUGCUCUCAGAGUCACGCUCCUCGGAAUUGGAGCGUAAAUUGGGUGGUAAAUUUCAUCUAAAGCUAAAUACAGGCUCGAGACCGAUAGCAAACAAGUACCAUGAGGGAAAGAUGAAAAGGACUUUGAAAAGAGAGUUAAAAGUGCUUGAAAUCGCUGAACUGGAAGCGAAUGGAACUAGUGCUCUGGUUGAGAUUGCUGCAAGUGGCUACAACGUCUGGGCUCUGGAACGCAAGUCCUUUGUCUGGUUUGGAUUGGUUGCUUGCAAUGUGUCUCAGCUUGAACAUCAACUUCUAUGCAUGUGUGAGGAUGGCCCUUGGCUCAUGCUGUCUUGCUGCGGUGAGACUCUUGUGCCUUUGGGGAUUCAGGCGUGUGUGGACUGUUGAUCAAUUAGUUCCAUUCGACCCGUCUUGAAACACGGACCAAGGAGAA